rnacentral:rRNA from 1 species
AUUCCAGUUCCAAUAGCGUAUACUAAAGUUGUUGCAGUUAAAAAGCUCGUAGUUGAAUUUCUGGUCGUGGCAAUCGGUCAGCCCCUCACGGGGUUCGUACCAGGUUGCUGCGUCCAUCCUCGGGGAGAGCACAUCGGGCAUUCAGUUGUCUGGUGUGGGAUCCUCGUCAUUUACUGUGAGCAAAAUAGAGUGUUCAAAGCAGGCUUAGGCCGUUGAAUACAUUAGCAUGGAAUAAUAAGAUAGGACCUUGGUCUAUUUUGUUGGUUUGCAUUCCAAGGUAAUGAUUAAUAGGGAUAGUUGGGGGUAUUCGUAUUCAAUUGUCAGAGGUGAAAUUCUUGGAUUUAUGGAAGACGAACUACUGCGAAAGCAUUUACCAAGGAUGUUUUCAUUA